GGGAGAGUGCGGAACUGGAACCCCGGGUAGCGGGCGAAGACGGCGAGGGCGGUGGUGUGCUCGAGGAGGCGGCGGUGGUUGAAGUCGGAGAUGAUGAAGGUGACGUGGAAGUCGAAUAAGCAGAAGAGAUGCGCGAGAUUGAGCAUGGGGCUGAGAUGGCCCAGAAGUGGAAAAGGGAAAAUCAGCACGUGCGGCGGCAGAUCUUUACCUUGUUCAGAGCUCAUCUUCUUCCAAUCUGAUCUAGGAAUUUAAAAGCUUUUGUUUUCGUUUCUGAGUCUUGCAAUUAUCAGAUGAAAUGAAUUAUUGAAUUGAGGCACAAACUCAUUCUCCCACUUUUGAUGUCCCACCACUUAUUCCAUUAUCUAUCCUUGUGAUUUGAAUUAUUGGUUUAAUGAUUGGAGAAAAAAAGUCUUAUUAACUGAGUUGUGUUUCACUAUCUUAUUCUAACACUAUUUUAAGGCAAGACACUUUCACUUCUCACAAUACACUUUUUUUUUUUUUAAGGUAAAUAAGAUAAAUAAAAGGGGUACUUAACCCAAAAGGUACAUAAGAGCAUAUUACAUGACAAGUUAGAACUUGGAAGGAAAACAACGGAUCGGAUCAACAAACCAAUCGUGAACCGAACAACAAAAGUUACUAGACAACAUCGCCUUAAUCCUUCUCCAAGAGCAAAAGAUAAUGUUAUCCACAGCCGAAUCAACGCAUCUAUUUUUAAAGAUUCUCUCAUUUCGAGCUUUCCAACUCCAACAAGCACAUUGCCAGAUCAUGUUAAACAUCGAUUUUUCCAUCUUGUUCUUGCCAUUCACAAUACACUUACAUAUUUUUAUAAAACUUAUGUCACUCACGCAAAUCGAAGCGAGUAAUAAAACAACACAAAUUAAUUCUCCUAUGAGAUUGAGUGUAUGGGUGAGACGGGUCGGGUCGAGGUUGGUUAAUAAUUUAAAAUAAUUAUUGUUGUGAUGAAAAGUAAUAUAUAUCUUGAAAAAUACAUGUCAUCAACUUUUUUAUAUAAGGUUCAUUAUUAUUUAUGAAUAAUUUGUUUUUGUUGAAUUUUGGAGACGGCUGAAAUCAUUAUUUUUUUAUAAAAAACAAGCAACAGAAACAUUUAUAUAUAGAUGCCUUAAAAGUUGAUUUCUAAUUAAGGCUUAAAUAGAAUAAAAAAACAAUUAUGUACUGAGUUGGUUCUCUAUUUUAAUGGGCCCAUUGAGGAAAUUUUCAGACAACACUACGACAGGCUUGACAAAAUAAAUUGCCAUUGUAGAUUUGUAAAAGACUAUCACCACAAAAUGCCGAUUUAAUCUAGUUCCACAUUUUUUUUUUUUUGUAAGCAGUUCUAUUUUAUUCAACAAAAAACAUUUUAAAGUUGUCAUCAAUUGAAAUCUCACAACACAAAAAGUGAGAGGAGCAUUCUUGCUCUGUUCAAGGACAAGACAAACUUGUUAAAUUGACACUCGUUUUAAUUCUGUUUGCAAUUUGUGAGGAUAUACAAACAAAAACAUCUUUAAAAAUAACAAUAACAAUAAUCACAAUACCAAUGACUUGAUAUACUGAACUAGAGCAUCCAUAUUAGUAUACGACGAACCACCUUUACUUCCAGACAUUUUCACAAGUUUAGCCAUAUUUUCUGCCCUUUCCAAAAACUCAUCUUUUCUACUGAAAAUCAAAUCCCUCACUCCCUUCUCAAUAAUCAAUCUAUCACAAGUAUCUUUUAUGUCCAAUCCAAUCUUCCAAACCUCACUCACAAGCCUACUAUUAGUAGUUUGAUCAGAGAAACAAGGCCAACAUAUCAUCGGCACGCCGGCCACAAUGCUCUCGAGAGUCGAGUUCCAUCCACUGUGAGUCAAGAAUCCUCCCACCGCAGGGUGGUUGAGCACCUUCUCCUGCGGCGCCCACUCCGCAAACAAACCCAUUUCUUUGCUACGUUCCAUUAAUUCCGCCAAAACCUGAUCAUUUCCUUCAUUGUCGGUGAUGGAAUCCGGCCUAAUCACCCACAAGAACCUCUGCGCACUGUCGAGCAAGCCGUGCCAGAACUCUAACACUUGCUCCCUCGUCACAACCGCUAUGCUCCCAAAGCUCACAUAAAUGACAGAUUUAGGCGGCUGCGCAUCCAACCAAUCGAUGCAGCUCCGGUCUUCCGCCCAUAGACUCGCCUUGAUGAUUGACACAUCUGCCUUCUUCUUCAUCAGUCUAGAUUUCACUUGCUCGUGGAUUGGACCAAUGGAGAAAAUUCUCGGCACAUGCUUCUGUAUCUCUGCAAUUACCGGUCCCUCGAGAUCUUCACAAGUGUUAAAUAUGAUCCCGUCCUUCACAAUUUGGUUCCCUAUAAAUGCUUGAAGAAAAGGGUCGUUUACAUUGUCGGCACGGUAAACACUCGGCAGGUCACGCCGUCGGAGAAAACCUUCCAUUCCUGGUACACUUCUAACUAAUUCAUCCAUCGAUUUUCCUGCAAAACCCUCACAAGGAUUAUAGUGUUACAUUUUAGUGAUCUCCAUCUUUUUAUCCCAUAUUCUAUGAAGUGUAAAAUAUAAAAUAAUUGCUAAUAAUAAUAAUAAUAACACAUAUUCACAUUUUAGUAUAUUUUCACCAUAUACAAAAAAAACAUGCUUGACACCGACGGAAUUUACAGCGGAAUAUUUAAUUUUACGACGGAAUUUUUUGAUUUUACCGACGGAAUAUAUGUGGUGUAUCUGACCUCGGAAAGGAAUUUCUUGAGCUUGAAGCAGCUGAGGAAAGCAAAAAAGAGCCCAGGAGAAGGCGGCGCUAGCACUUGGGAAGAGGAUGAGCGGAAGCUGAUGCUCUCUAGCAAAGUCGGGGGCGAAGCUCAUAGCAUCGGCAACGAAGCAAGUCACGCGUCUACGGGCGGCGCCGCCCAAGAAAUUCUCCUGGACCAUCAUUUUCUUGAAGAGCGGCGCCGUGACUUUUUCGAUGGAGAAAUGAGUCCUUGGCUCCUCCCCGGCGCGGGGGUGGUCUCGGAGCCGUCGGGGAGAGCCCGGAACUCGAACCCCGGGUGCGGCGAGCGGCGACGGUGGCGUGCUCGAGGAGGCGGCGGUGGUUGAAGUCGGAGAUGAUGAAGGUGACGUGGAAGUCGGAUAAGCAGAAGAGAUGCGCGAGAUUGAGCAUGGGGUUGAGAUGGCCCUGAAGUGGAUAAGGGAAAAUCAGUACGUGCGGUGGGAGAUCUUUUCCUGGUUCUGAGCUCAUCUUCUUCUAACUCAAAUCUUGCUAAAUCUCUUGAGAGAGAGAGAGAGAGAGAGAGAGUUGCACAUUUAUUUCACCAUAUAAGGUGUAUAAACACAACCACCGACACACGCGUAUCGGCUAAAUAAAUCUUAAUUAUAAAUUAAUGGUGCAAUUAGGCAUAAAUAGGGAUGUAAUCGAACUGAAUAGUGGUGUACUCAAGUUUGAUUUAUCUAGUAUCGAAUCGAAUUCCGAACUUUACUUACCGAAUACUUUGAGGCUCACGAGCCUAAUCGAGCCUAUACGAACUUUCUAAAUUUAUAUUUAUAUAUAUAUCUAUUCAAAAUAUUGAUUAUUUUAUUUUUAAAAUAAAAUAUUUUAUUCAAAAUAAUAAAUAUAUUAAUUAUUUUCUUAUAACAAACAAAAUUAAUUAGAGAUUUAAUAAAAUUAUUAUUAAUUUUAGUGGAUAAAUAUAAGUUGUAUCUACUAAUAAUUUAUAUUUUUCAAGCUGAAUCACUUGACGAACAUGCUCACAAGGUAACGAACUGAAUACUACUAAGCUCAAAUUUGGUUUGUUUAUUUAUCGAACUUUUCUAAAUGAACUUGAACGAUCUUUUUUAGAGUCGAGCUCCGAAUAGUUCAUGAGUGGCUUGAUUUGUUUACAGCCUAGGCAUAAAGAUUUGGAGGGAGGCAUUACAAUAUUCAAUAAAACUAUGCAAUUGUAGCCACCACAAACUUAGUUGAAUAUGAAAAAAAUGAUUAUUUAAUUUAUUUUUAAAAUAAAAUAAGUUGUUAUUUUAUUGUAUUUAUUAUAUUGUAUUCCCUUCGUCCACUAUUAUUGUUUCAUAAUUUUUUGAUACAAAAAUUGAGGAAAAAGUGUAAAAAUAGUAGGACCACACCUUUUGAAGAAUUAGUUAUUCCAUUUUAUGGAAAAUUUGGACGAGUUGCAAAGUUCAUGAUUUAAAAUGUAAUUUUUGAAGUUCGUGUGCAAAAUCAAAAAUUGACUAAUGCAAUUAACCCUUUUAAUUAUUGACUUAAUGAUUGGAGAAGAAUCGUCUUAUCAAUUGAUCAUGUUUUGUAUCUGAAUUAUUCUAGCUAAUACUACUAUUUAAGAUGAGACAUUUUCUCCGCACACAAUAUAUUCAAAUACUUUUGAGUUCGAUGGUUUUUUAGAACAGUAUGGAAAUUAGGACAAAAACUUUCGGAUUUGUAAAAAUAGGACACUAAUAAGUGUUGCACCCGCAAGACAUUUCUCGGCCGAGAAAAUGUCCUAUUUUCGAUGCUUAUUAAUUAGUAUCCUAUUUUACUCUAAAAAAUAUUAGUGUCUUAUUUUUUACAAAUUCGAAAAUUUUUGUCAUAAUUUUCAAAUCAAUAUAAGUUACUACUCUGAUUCAAUACUUUUAUAAAACUUAUGUCACUCGCUGAAGACUUUUUAUUAAGAAUCACUACUACAAAAAACUAAUACUUGACACUGCAUACAUGACGCUUUUUAUGAAAAAGCGUCAUGUAUGAGCGCUCUUUUAGUAUAUAUGACGUUUGGAAAAAAAAACGUCAUGUAUGUAGUGUCAUGUAUUGAAUAUAUGACGGUUUGCUGACAGUUUCAUAAAAAAACGUCAUGUAUGAGCGUCGUUUAUACAUAGUAUACAUGACAUUCAUUACAAAGCGUCAUAUAUGUGCGUUGAUUUUAAUUCUAUACAUGACAGUUAUACAAAUUGUCAUGUAUAUUAAUAAACAAACCGUCAUUAAUUAUAUAAUUCUUGACAUUUUUCACAAAAAAAUAAAUUAAAAUGCAAGGAUCAAGAAUCGAAGUAUCGAAGAAUUAACCUCUAGCUUUUUUUUUUUGAAAUUAUUUGUGUCUCUACAUUUUUCUAUCUUUUCUUCGAUAAAUCAAAAUUAUUUAAUUUAAUAUUAAGAAAAAGAACUCAUAAUUUAAAUAUGAAAAAAAUUUGAGUGAAUUUUUAUUGUAAUGAUUUUUAUUAAUCAUUAAAAAUAAAUUUUAUGUUUUAAAUAUUUUAAAAAUAAGAAUGAAUUAUACCUAUUUCUACACUGCCUUAGACUACAUGAUUUAAGUGUUCAACAAAGCAAAGCAAAGCAAAGCAAAUUAAAUUGCUUUAAUUCAUAAAUCGGAAAGAAAGAAAAAAAGAAAAAGCAAAAAAAAAAGAACAAAAAAAAAUAAUUUCAACUUUCUCUUCGUUUAUCUUUCCCCAAAUGCCAAAGAAAAACCCUUGCAGCGAAUUCCCCAAAUCCACCGCGAGAAAGCUUCCAUCUUCGACGAGAAUUUAUUCUCCAAUCCUUAACCUCUGUGAUAUGGCGAUAUCGCCGGUGAAAUCUGGGUAGGGUGGUGGCGAUAGCAUCGGACGGCCAAAACGUCGAUUUGGUCUGGACGUUAAAGCUCGAUGGCGCGGUCCACGACUGUUUGCCGCUGCCUUUGCUCUUCGAGAAGUUCCACAAUCUCCAGCACCUUUCUAUGGCCAACAUCGGCGGCUCGUCGCUGGAGCAGUUCCCCCGCCUCCAAAAUUUUCAGCGAAUUUAAAUAUUUAGCUUUUAUUUUGAUUUAGUUUUUAUAAAAUCUAACUUUGAGAAAUUGUUUGAUUACAUGUGCGAGAGUUUGUAUCUAAUAGUUUUGAUCUUAGAAGCUGUCGCCGCGCCGCCCCUCCGCUGGUCGCUAUUGCGCCGCCGAGGGCCGCUCCAGAUCCUGCCCUAGCUAAAAAAUUCCGAAGAGAGGACCGAACUGCUCCUCGUAUUUGUAUUUGCAAGAAUGUAAGUAUCAUUUAUAUGUUGAUUAACCUACAAUUUUCGAGCUUUGGAAACACAAGAGUAUUGAAUGCAAUAAGAGCCUAUGCUCUGUCAACUAUCAACUAUUGGUUGUGUCCUUACUGUAUUGAGUGUUCAAUGAGAUCACAUAAAGGAUUGAUUCACUUUUUAGAAGCCUAUGCUCAUGUUAUUGUUUUGGAAUUCUCAAGCAUUUGUUUUUCUUAGCUGUAAUGCACUUUCAUAUUGAACUACUAAAUUGAUGUAAGAGUUAUGAUGGAUAUGCAAAUAGUUCAACACAAUUUUUUGCAUUUAUAUAUUGUGCUUACUUAGUGCAAAAUAGUGAAGUAUGUAUGGAGAUGGAUAAACCAUGUGCUGCUGAAAAUUGAAUAACUUAUAGUUAUGGUAUAUGGAUUAUUAGCAGAAUGGCUUGCCAUUUUGACGGUGGUUGACAUACUGCUUGUGAGUACUACCUGACAUUUUUGUGGAGGCACUCAAGUGCAUUUUAGCAUAUUGAUAGUUGUGCUCAUGUUAGUUCAGAAUCUCCUCUAUGCUAUCAUAUUUGAUGAUUAGCUCAGUAUGAGAUUUUAGUUUUUAGGACUUUGAGUCAGAGAGGAAAUGGAAGCUGGAUAAGGCAACUAAAGCUGCUAGAAGCUUAGAUCGUGUCAUCAUCGAUAGAGAUCUUAAACCUAUGCUACCUAGAAUUACAUAAAGGAAGUAAGUUUUAUUAGUACUUAACCUUUGCAUUGUUUCUCAAUGUUCUGCUGCUUUCUCAAUUGUGGAGGAAUAUAUCUGAAACACAUUACAUUUUAUUUAUUUAUUUUCAUUGUUAGUUCAUUGUUGGGCAUUUUUAUUGCCCAUUAAGUUAAUACUCUUAUAUACAAGAAGCAAAGCAUUGUACCACGUUAUGCUGAUUCAUGAGUUUUUCAGGGUAACCCUGGCUGUUACAUGUUUUGUUUUCUACAGAUUGUUGCUCUUAAUUUUUGGAGAUUUUUAUAAUGUGCAGUAUGCCAAAAUGUAUACUGUAUUCAUGGUGCAAUUACAGGUACUGUAUAAUCUCUCAGUUGCUAUAUGGUCUUUGCAUCUUUCAGUUAUGCCUGAGCUAGGUCUAAGUUCUAGGCUACCUGCUGAUUCUUUAUAUUUUCAUUGUUGCCUAUCAGAACAUUCUUCCAUCGAAUACAAAUUUCAUUGAGGCUUAUGAAAAUAUCACUAUGAUUUCAAAAUAUUCAAUCCUAUAGACUAUUUGAGAAAUUUAAUCUAUUGAAUUUUAAUUCUCUUUGAAAUGUAUGGAAGAUGUUAAUGCUAACUUUCUUUGCCUUUGUAGAUUGACUGGUGAAAUGAAGAAGUUCGCUCAUUGAAGACAUGGAUAUUCAAAGUCAAUGAUUUUUAGGAUUCUAAUAUUAUCGAAUACUUUUGUAAAUAUAUUAUGAUGUGUAUGUAGUAUUUUCAAUGUUGAAUGUUUAAUGUACGAGCAUGUUGGAUGCUUAUUUAUGAUAUUGGAUGAUUAUUUAAUAUAUACAUUGUUUUGAAUAUUUUAUGCUGUUUAUUGGUUUUUAAAAUUGAAGAAAAUAUAGAAAAUAAUAUAUUCAAUUCUGAAAAGAGCAUAGAUGACGGUUCGUAACCGUCAAGUAUACAUAUAUAUAUAAAUGUCAAGAAUGCUUACAUAUAUGACGGUUAGUAAGUGUCAAAUAUAAUUACAUAAAGCGUCAUGUUUUGUGCUAUUCAUGACGAUUUGAAACCGUCAAGAAUAAUAUUGCUAGUGUCAUGUAUAUUAUUAUACUUGACGGUCAAAAAAUCGUCAAGUAUACUUAUAUAACCGUCAUAAAUACUGAGUAUACAUGACGGUUUAUAACCGUCAUCUAUAGUAGGGAGUAUACACUACACCACUAUACUUGACAGUUUUUAGAUGACAUAGAUGACGGUUUUUAGCCGUCAUAUAUGAGCAUUUUUGUAGUAGUGAAUGAAGGAGAAGUAAUAAAAUAAGUAUCCCAUUUUGUGGUGAACUCUUUUUCUUGAGUGACUAGCUAGCAAAAAGAGUACGUCCGCUCGUACAUAAAAUAAUGAUUCUAUCAAAAAAUAUCUGACAAAUUUAUUUCAUAGAAAUUUUUAAUAUUUUAUUUCAUAUGUAGUUUUAAUUUGUAAUUAUGUUAUGUCAAUUUUAUCUAUUGCAUAAUGGAUAGAUCGAGAUUCGAGACCGGAUUAACAUAGUAUGGGGUUGAAUUUAACUUCUGUUUUGUAUUUAGGAAAUACAAGUCAUCAAUUUUUUUGAAUAUGUAAUAUGUUAAGGGUGUCUUGUUUUUUAGACAUAGACAGCGGUACCAUUAUUUAUACGAAAAGUACAACAUAUCGAUUUUUCGGUAUCUUGGUCCACCCCGAACAAUAACAAUAAUCAAAUGACCAACGAUUUGAUAUACUGAACUAGGGCAUCCAAAUUAGUAUACGAUGAACCACCUUUACUACCAGACUUUUUCACAAGUUUAGCCAUAUGAUCUGCCCUUUUCAAAAACUCAUCCUUUCUCACUUCCAUCAAAUCUCUCACUGAUUUCUCAAUAAUCAAUCUAUCACAUGUAUCUUUUAUGUCCAAUCCAAUCUUCCAAACCUCACUCACAAACCUACUAUUAGUUGUUUGGUCACCGAAAUAAGGCCAACAUAUCAUCGGCACGCCAGCCACAAUGCUCUCGAGAGUCGAGUUCCAUCCACUGUGUGUCAAGAAUCCCCCCAGGGCCGUCUCUGAGGGCGGGCGAGCAUGGGCGACCGCCCAGGGCCCAUCAUUUUCGGGGGCCCCAAAAUUUUAUAUCCUCUUAUAUAUACUAUUAUUAUUAUGGGUCCAAUAUUUUGUUUUUUAUGUAUACUACUAACUUUAAAAAAAAUUGGGGCCCAAAAAAUUACAUCCCAAAAGAAUUUUGGAGCCCAAAUAAAUUACAUCACUAAAUAUUUUUGGAUAAUAGCGUGAUGCUGAAAUCUUUAAUUUUUUUCUGAUGUCUGUUGAAGUUGAGGAUAUUAGUGAGAAUAUAGAUAACUUGAGCGAGCAUUAUCGCCUUCUUAAUAUACCAAAUGACGAACAUAUAGCCAUGAUGAACAUUUUAUUCCUUCAUGUGAUAUAUACGAGAAAUUGGGAUAAUAUUGAUAAUAAUACACGUGAUAUUUUAGUUGAAAAAUGGCCUAUUAGAGAAAUGAAUCUUGUAUUUUCUUUAGACAAUAUCUCUAGGCAUUUUUCUUAUGCUCACUAUACUAUAAAAUUAAUCAAUGGUGAGGUGCAAGAUCGAAAGUGGUUCGUAUAUAGUAAAAAUAUUUGUCAAAUACAUGUUGUGAAAGUCGUAUUAAAAGUGCUCGAGCAAUUAGAUUUCAGUCUGUUGAAUUGAGAGAUGCUUUAUUAAAAUUAUGUGAUAUUUGUGAUGAUGCAAAGUCGAAAAGUGAAGCUGAAAGUUUAAGUGCAUCAAUUGAAAAUUGAAAAUUUUUAUUUGGUAUAGUUAUUUGGUAUGACAUUUAAUUUGCUGUAAACAUGAUGAAUAAAAAGUUACAAUCCAAAUAUCUUUGCAAGUAGUAUAGAUGACUUAUCGUGGACGGAGGGAGUAUUAUAAAUGAUUUUGCAAGUAAAAAGACGAGAAUAAAUCACUUUUUAUAUUAUUAAUACUUUAUUUUUAUCGAAAUAUUAUAAUGUGACUUAAGAAAAAGUAUUAUCUUGUGCUUUUAUGAUGGUGGAUAGGGGCCCAUUUCUAUCAUUUCGCCCUGGGCCCAUUUUUAAUCAGAAACGGCCCUGAAUCCCCCCACUGCGGGGUGGUUGAGCACCUUCUCCUGCGGCGCCCACUCCACCAACAGACCCUUUUCUUUACUACGUUCCAUUAAUUCCGCAAAAGCUUGUUCAUUUCCUUCAUUGCCAGUGAUGGAAUCCGGCCUCAUCACCCACAAGAAACUCUGCGAACUGUCGAGCAAGGCGUGCCAGAACUCUAACAGUUGCUCUCUCGUCACAAGUGUUAUGCUCCCGAAGCUCACAUAGAUGACAGAUUUAGGUGGUUGCGUGUCCAGCCAAUCGAUGCACCUCCGAUCCUCUGCCCAUAGACUCGCCUUGAUGACGGAGACCUCCGCCUUCGUCUCCAUUUGUCUGGAUUUCACUUGCAAGUGGAUUGGACCGACGGAGAAAAUUCUCGGUGCAUGCUUCUGUAUCUCUGCAACUACAGGUCCCUCGAGAUCUUCACAAGUGUUAAAUAUGACCCCUUCCUUCACAAUUUGAUGCCCUAUUAACUCUUGAAGAAUCGGGUCGUUUACAUCGUCGGCACGGUAAAAACUAGGCAGGUCACGCCGUCGGAGAAAACCUUCCAUUCCUGGUACACUUUUAACUAAUUCAUCCAUCGAUUUUCCUGCAAAAACCUCAUAGAGAUUAUAGAGUUACAUAUACAUAUCUCUCUUUGGUUGUAAAUUUUCACAUUUUAGUGGUCCCAUCUUUUUAUCCCAUAUCCUAUAGGGUAUGUAAAAAAAUAAAAAUGAUUGCCAAACUGACCUCGGAAAGGAAUAUCUUGAGCUUGAAGCAGCUGAGGAAAGCAAAGAAGAGCCCAGCAGUAGGAGGCGCUAGCAGUGUGAAAGAUGAUGAGCGGAAGCUGGUGCUCUCUUGCAAAGCCGGGAGCGAAGCUCAUAGCAUCUGCAACGAAGCAAGUCACCCGUCUACGGGCGGCGCCGCCCAAGAAAUUCUCCUGGACCAUCAUUUUCUUGAAGAGCGGCACCGUGACUUUUUCGAUGGAGAAGAUGAGGUCCAGGGCUCUCUCCCCGGUGCGGGGGUGGUCGUCGGGGAGGCCGUCGGGGAGAGUGCGGAACUGGAACCCCGGGUAGCGGGCGAAGGCGGCGAGGGCGGUGGUGUGCUCGAGGAGGCGGCGGUGGUUGAAGUCGGAGAUGAUGAAGGUGACGUGGAAGUCGGAUAGGCAGAAGAGAUGCGCGAGAUUGAGCAUGGAGUUGAGAUGCCCCUGAAUCGGAUAAGGGAAAAUCAGCACGUGCGGUGGCA
rnacentral:lncRNA from 1 species